CCAACCCUAUCUCACGGCGAAUUCGUACUAAUUCGUACGAAUUAACCAAGUGGCUAAAUCGUACGAUAUCGUACGAGCUGGGUCGUACGAAUUCGUACGAUUUGUUCAUUGCAUUUAGUACAAGCCCAUCAAGACGAAUUCGUACUAAUUCGCACGAUUUAAUUAAUUGGUUAAAUCGUACUAUAUCGUACGAUUUGUUCUUCACGUUCAAUAAGCUUGACCCAACUCUCGACAGGAAAACAACGCGAUAUUUUCCUGCAGUUUACACGCGCCACUUCUCGUUACUUCAGAUCCCAUUCCAUUCACCCUUUCAUCUAUUCCAUCUACUCUAAAAUCCAACCCAACGGCUCUUUUAAGAGCCAUCAUUAGCAAAAGCUCUAAUUCUCUCUCUCUCCCACACACACACACACACACACACACACACACACA